UUGCUUCAACCGCCGCAUUGUAAAGAUCGGAGAAAAGCUUCUACCUCCAUUAAUAAUUUAAUUAUUGUUUCAGUUCAUGCUAAUAUUAUAUACUGAAUCGAUAACGCCGAAUGUGGAACGGAAAUGAGAAGAUGCACAAGCGACCCCCAAAACAUGGAACACGAAAAGGCAUUGCAUGUCACGUCUAUUCUGUACUUCGUCGGUGGAAAUACCUCGUCCGUAGUAGAGGAUAUAACCACAGAUGGACAUAACAAAACCUGUGCUGCCUGAACAAUCGAAAAUGCAAUGUGAUACAAUAAUCACUAGACUACAGAACCAACAUGGAUGACCGUUAUACGAGACGAUACAAACUAUCCUAGAAUUUGUGAAAUCCAACGGUGACGUUCUUCUCUGAUAUACGAGAUUUUAUGGAUAACCACAAAUUUGCGGAACCUGAGAUGAAAAAUUUCAGCACCAUAGAAUCUAACACUGAUCACCCCAGAUUUAUGAAACGAAAUUAAUUUGGACUAUCUCUUUUAAUCUAACAAUUUACAAAUUAUCAACAUUAUGGUCACAAGUAUGAUAAUAAGCGAAAUGAAGUUCUAAAAGAAAAUCUUACAAAUUAGAACAUCUUCUAUUAUCCUAUUUGACGUAUUAACGGUAUUUAACGGUAUCAACCAAUGUUCUAUACAUAUUUAAUAAUUCUUCAAAGAGGAGGAUUGUAUGUAUAAUCAAAUGACACAGAAAUCGUACUUCUAUUAAUUGUACAAUACAUUGUAGGAACAAAAUGAACAUGU